AAUUAUUUUGUUACCAAAUUAGAGGUGAAAUAGCAUUAUAUUCCUCACUGUUAUACAAACCAAUGAUAUUUAGUAAAACAAGUGAUUUUUAGUAAAACAAGCUGACUACAUUUUUUAUUCGUGCAUUUUUUUUUUUGCCCCAAAUGCUUUAAGGAAAUAAGCAAUUCUACCUUUUCCUCCUGUAAUAUUUUGUCCUAAAAAUUUUUUAUUAGGAUCAUUUACCUAAAGUUUUCUUUUUUUUUUUUGGUAUCGAAGAAUGCAAAAUUUAACAUAUUGUAAACAAAUUAGGGCAACAUAUACUCAGAUUCUAAAUAUUUUUGUUUGAUUUAAAGAAAA
rnacentral:lncRNA from 1 species